rnacentral:rRNA from 1 species
AGCGAACGCUGGCGGCAUGCUUAACACAUGCAAGUCGCACGGUCAGCAAUGGCAGUGGCGGACGGGUGAGUAACACGUAGGAAUCUAUCCGUGGGUGGGGGGACAACAGCGGGGAAACUGCUGCUAAUACCGCAUGAUACCUGAGGGUCAAAGGCGCAAGUCGCCUUAGGAGGAGCCUGCGUCUGAUUAGCUUGUUGUGGGGUAAAGGCCUACCAAGGCGACGAUCAGUAGCUGGUCUGAGAGGAUGAUCAGCCACAUUGGGACUGAGACACGGCCCAAACUCCUACGGGAGGCAGCAGUGGGGAAUAUUGGACAAUGGGCGAAAGCCUGAUCCAGCAAUGCCGCGUGUGUGAAGAAGGUCUUCGGAUUGUAAAGCACUUUUGGCAGGGACGAUGAUGACGGUACCUGCAGAAUAAGCCCCGGCUAACUUCGUG